rnacentral:ncRNA from 1 species
AUGAAAACGUCGAGCAGAAGUAAGUAGUUUUAGGGAUGCUUCUCAGAGAGUCGGUGGUAGGUGUGAACCGAUGAAGUGAACUAAGAUGAAUGGGUCUGUGAGUGCGAGGCGAAUAAAGUACCCGAGCCGGAUCUCCCGUUACAGAGAUAGGAUAUGUUAGUAUCUAAAUUGAGAUGCGCCUUUUUGGCGUAACUAGGAUGGCACCGCGAAUACACCAUUUGCUCCUAUU